UGCGGAUCGCUGUUCAGUGCGAAAAUGCCGUUAAACGCAGUUGAAUCGCCAUGAAAGGAUUCUCUUCCUGGUCUUGGCAAAAAGCCGCGUUUUAAGGCUGCUAACCGGACAAGUGGACACGCAAGGACCGACUAUACACUGGCCAUGCCAGCGGAGUAUUUUUGCGGAGCGGAGAUACGAGAUUCUAGUGGACAGAAGACGAUUCAGAACUUCCCUUUCUACGGCGUUUAUACGGAAAGAAAGCAUCCACCACAGUUUGGAACUUGCGAUACAUAUGAACUUGCAUUCUAUUCUGCACGGAAAUAAAAAGAUAAAGAAUACCAGAAAGAGAAUACCAAAUGUCUCGAGUCGUAGUCGAGUUUUACAACAAUCACCAAGAAGCACCUGUGGCAAGUGCAGAAACCCAUCCAGAG
rnacentral:misc_RNA from 1 species